rnacentral:rRNA from 1 species
UACGUAGGGUGCGAGCGUUAAUCGGAAUACUGGGCGUAAAGCGUGCGCAGGCGGUUCGUUGUGUCGGCGGUGAAAGCCCCGGGCUCAACCUGGGAAUGGCCGUUGAAACUGGCGAACUGGAGUGUGGCAGAGGGGGGUGGAAUUCCGCGUGUAGCAGUGAAAUGCGUAGAGAUGCGGAGGAACACCGAUGGCGAAGGCAGCCCCCCUGGGCUGACACUGACGCUCAGGCACGAAAGCGUGGGGAGCAAACAGG